UACGAAGGGGGCUAGCGUUGCUCGGAAUUACUGGGCGUAAAGGGCGCGUAGGCGGAUAUUUAAGUUGGGGGUGAAAUCCCGGGGCUCAACCUCGGAAUUGCCUUCAAAACUGGAUAUCUUGAGUUCGGGAGAGGUGAGUGGAACUCCGAGCGUAGAGGUGAAAUUCGUAGAUAUUCGGAAGAACACCAGUGGCGAAGGCGACUCACUGGCCCGAUACUGACGCUGAGGCGCGAAAGCGUGGGGAGCAAACAGG
rnacentral:rRNA from 1 species